UACGUAGGGUGCGAGCGUUGUCCGGAAUUAUUGGGCGUAAAGAGCUCGUAGGUGGUUUGUCGCGUUGUUCGUGAAAUCUCACGGCUUAACUGUGAGCGUGCGGGCGAUACGGGCAGACUUGAGUACUGCAGGGGAGACUGGAAUUCCUGGUGUAGCGGUGAAAUGCGCAGAUAUCAGGAGGAACACCGGUGGCGAAGGCGGGUCUCUGGGGCCGAAACUGACGCUGAGGAGCGAAAGCGUGGGGAGCAAACAGG
rnacentral:rRNA from 1 species